rnacentral:lncRNA from 1 species
UCAAUAUUCGAUUUAAAAGAAAAAAGUAUCGACCAAUGUUUCAUACAUAAUUAAAGCUAAAUAUCCUUCUAAAUCCAAGGUGUCUAUAUACAUAAGUAUGAACUUCUAACAUUUUCCUUGCAUAGGAUACUCUGUCUGAAGCUAAGCGAUUGCUACUGUCUGUCGCCCUUCGUAUGGAUCAUGUUAAAAGGUCUCAGCUGUCACCAGUGGAAUAGAAAGAGAUCCAGCAGCAAGUGAUAUUUUCAAUGUGGCUUUUCCCUAACAAUAAAAAAAUAAUAUUAUACAACUGCAAAUUCUACCCCUUUGCAGGUUCCAGCAGGACCAGCACAUAACAUUAAAAAUGAAAACCCCCUUUCUUUAUUCAACAUUACCUACUGCCUAUUAAUGUUUGAAGUCUCCUGACUAUAUAAAUUCAAGUGAUACCUCAGAUUUGAGUGAUGCCUUCCCAAAAACUCUCAAGGCAUCCUCGUGCAGUGUUUUAUUUCCAU